rnacentral:lncRNA from 1 species
UGAUUUUCAUAGAUUCAGAUAUAGGAGUCCCAAUGGACUUUGUGUUCAGAAUCAAAAUCACAACAUACAUUGUGUAUAACUCAUUAAGUCAUUCCAUGACUUGAAACAGUUAGGUUGGUUGUGAUACAACCAACGGGUGAGUUCGUUCCUCGGAAGGCUUACUCCCAACCACGAUGAUUGUAUAUGUGUGUUUAUAUCAAAAUCCUAAUUGAUUUUAUAUCAUCUCUGAUCACACACAACAAAGCAUGC